rnacentral:rRNA from 2 species
AUGAACGCUGGCGGCGUGCCUAAUACAUGCAAGUCGAGCGAACGGAUAAGGAGCUUGCUCCUUUGAAGUUAGCGGCGGACGGGUGAGUAACACGUGGGUAACCUACCUAUAAGACUGGAAUAACUUCGGGAAACCGGAGCUAAUGCCGGAUAACAUUUGGAACCGCAUGGUUCUAAAGUAAAAGAUGGUUUUGCUAUCACUUAUAGAUGGACCCGCGCCGUAUUAGCUAGUUGGUAAGGUAACGGCUUACCAAGGCAACGAUACGUAGCCGACCUGAGAGGGUGAUCGGCCACACUGGAACUGAGACACGGUCCAG